rnacentral:rRNA from 1 species
GACGAACGCUGGCGGCGUGCCUAAUACAUGCAAGUCGAACGCAGUGGGGACGGGUGAGUAACACGUGGGUAACCUCCCAUCAGAGGGGAUAACACUUGGAAACAGGUGCUAAAACGAUACUGAAGUCUGGACCUGCGUUGCAGUAGCUUGUUGGUGAGGUAACGGCUCACCAAGGCCACGAGGCAUAGCCGACCUGAGAGGGUGAUCGGCCACACUGGGACUGAGAAACGGCCCAGACUCCGACGGGAGGCAGCAGUAGGGAAUCUUCGGCAAUGGACGAAAGUCUGACCGAGCAACGCCGCGUGAGUGAAGAAGGUUUUCGGAUCGUAAAGCUCUGUUGUUAGAGAAGCGGUAUCUAACCAGAAAGCCACGGCUAACUACGUGCCAGCAGCCGCGGUAAUUC